rnacentral:tRNA from 2 species
GGGGGCGUAGCUCAGCUGGGAGAGUGCCACACUGGCAGUGUGGAAGUCGUGGGUUCGAGUCCCAUCGUCUCCA